UGAAAAUUACAGGAAGCCAUUGUUUCGGAC
rnacentral:piRNA from 1 species